rnacentral:rRNA from 1 species
AGUGGGGAAUAUUGCGCAAUGGGCGGAAGCCUGACGCAGCGACGCCGCGUGGGGGAUGAAGGCCUUCGGGUUGUAAACCCCUUUCACCAGGAGCGAAUCCAGACGGUACCUGGGGAAGAAGCGCCGGCUAACUACGUGCCAGCAGCCGCGGUAAUACGUAGGGCGCAAGCGUUGUCCGGAAUUAUUGGGCGUAAAGAGCUCGUAGGCGGCCUGUCGCGUCCGCUGUGAAAUCCUGGGGCUUAACCCCGGGCCUGCAGUGGAUACGGGCUGGCUAGAGGCAGGCAGGGGAGAACGGAAUUCCCGGU